UCACAGGCUUAGUUCGACAACAUGAAGGUGGUGAUUGUGAGGUGCUGCGACUGUAUAACCGUUCAAUAUAAAGACAAUCCAUUUACCACAUGAAGAGGAAAAUUGCAGCGCUGCUUUAAAGGAACAAGCCCCCGUGGAGUGAAUCCAUCUGUCUCCGAGCUAUCACGGCCUAUGCAGCAACAAUCUGUGGGAUCAACGCCAGCACAGCCGUGGAAUGCAUUACCCCUCCAACUGUGGCCACAUCAGGGAUGUGAUGGAUACACGGAGACCACUGAGGACUGACACAACACAAUGGGAGAAGACACACAGAAACAUCGGAGAGAGUCACAGAUGAGGGAUCCCUCUCCCAGGACGGACCGAAGUGCAAGAGAUGUGGCAUCUGUGGCGGAAUGAACCAGGUACAGUCUGAUUCCCAGAGAUCCCGCGGCUAUUUUUAUUCAUGUGUUUGUAAGUGUGGCGAGCAUCAGGGAGGCGCCGUCUUAUGGGACGACGGGUUUUCUACAUUCUGACACAACAUCUCGCCUGAAGCCAACAAGAGCAGCUCUCAGCCUGUCUGUCCUCAGUCCCAGGCACAUCCACUCCGACUGAAGCCACUCUACGUCUCAUCAAUAUUAACCUCCAUCCGUCAGGGCCUGGAGCCUGGAGAGGUGGCGUCCACCCUGGACAGGUCAUCGGGAUAUCCCAGGUUUACCUCUCCAGAGGGUUGGAUGGGUAAACAGCCACAUUCUGCCUCCAGAUAAGAGCCUGAGUGAAGUCUUUCUAAAUCGCAGACCUUGAAAUUGAAAUGCUGUAUCACCUGUCUCAUGUGUCCGCCUGGGAGAGGGGUCCACACGACACAUAAGAUCAACUCAACAACAGUGAGAGCCCUGGGCCCUGAUCAACACAUCUUGGAGCCUCUACAUGUGCUCGUGCUCGGCUCAGUGUGUGAACCAGUCCUGUUUCUGCUCUGCUGAGCCUCUUUUCCACUGCUGAUCACAGGACAAAACAGGGAUUAAAACAACACUAACACCAAAGGGCAACACAUCUCCACGGCGUCAACACAAACAUCUACGGUUAAACCAGUGUGUGUCUGUUAGGGUCUGUCGGUCACAGCCUCGCACCACAUGGAACAAAAUUUCAUACAUGAUUUCAUCCGUGUACCAACCACCAGCUAAUGAGCCAGAUCCACAAAUUCCUAUUGGCCCUGAUAUAGGUCAGGUCUAUCCACUGGAGCAUGACAGCCAUGGUACAGUGUUCCUGCACUAACUGCAUGUGCUGCUGGGAGAUGUGGUAGGAUGAUCCUUGUACUUAUUACAGCCAUCUCUGUGUUAGUGCACAUGCAGAGACACACACUGGGUGUACAGCUGUGUGCCCUCCUGCCAUGAGACCUGUAUUUGUGCAGUAACACCCUGGAGGGGAUUGUUUGGUGCUGUGCAAGUGGUGACGUGGGUUAAUAAUGCAAAGACGGCUCAACUUUGAGUUUUGUGUGAUGUUGGGACAUUUCUCCUCAUCACACACACAACCACAUACACAUAAUACAGCACAUGUCUGUUAUUAGUGAAUGAGAAGGGGAUCAAACUCACCCAAAAUCCCAACAACAAAAAGUUUUCUCAGCACUGCGCUCUCAUGUGUAUGAUCCAUCACGCUGUGACGAUCCACUCGCAAUUUGGAAGAAAACCUCAGCUGCUGCUGCUGCUGCUCCGGGAACACGCACAUUUGAAGCGAACCAUGGUUACAAUUAUCUCCAUCGUGCAGAUCCGAGCUCCGUCAUGAGCCCGCACAGAGAGGCCGCGAGAA